UACGUAGGGUGCAAGCGUUGCUCGGAAUCAUUGGGCGUAAAGAGCUCGUAGGCGGUCUGUCGCGUCGGCUGUGAAAACCCGGAGCUCAACUCCGGGCCUGCAGUCGAUACGGGCAGACUGGAGUUCGGCAGGGGAGACUGUAAUUCCUGGUGUAGCGGUGAAAUGCGCAGAUAUCAGGAGGAACACCGGUGGCGAAGGCGGGUCUCUGGGCCGUUACUGACGCUGAGGAGCGAAAGCGUGGGGAGCGAACAGG
rnacentral:rRNA from 1 species